UGGGGAAUUUUGGACAAUGGGCGCAAGCCUGAUCCAGCCAUGCCGCGUGAGUGAAGAAGGCCUUCGGGUUGUAAAGCUCUUUCGGUUGGGAAGAAAUUGCUUCGGAUAAUACCCGGAGUAGAUGACGGUACCAGCAUAAGAAGCACCGGCUAACUACGUGCCAGCAGCCGCGGUAAUACGUAGGGUGCGAGCGUUAAUCGGAAUUACUGGGCGUAAAGCGUGCGCAGGCGGUUGUGUAAGUCAGAUGUGAAAUCCCCGGGCUCAACCUGGGAACUGCAUUUGAGACUGCACGGCUAGAGUGUAGCAGAGGGGGGUAGAAUUCCACGUGUAGCAGUGAAAUGCGUAGAGAUGUGGAGGAAUACCGAUGGCGAAGGCAGCCCCCUGGGUUACUACUGACGCUCAUGCACGAAAGCGUGGGGAUCAAACA
rnacentral:rRNA from 1 species